UGACGGUACCUGACUAAGAAGCCCCGGCUAACUACGUGCCAGCAGCCGCGGUAAUACGUAGGGGGCAAGCGUUAUCCGGAUUUACUGGGUGUAAAGGGAGCGUAGACGGAGUGGCAAGUCUGAUGUGAAAGGCAUGGGCUCAACCUGUGGACUGCAUUGGAAACUGUCAUUCUUGAGUGCCGGAGGGGUAAGCGGAAUUCCUAGUGUAGCGGUGAAAUGCGUAGAUAUUAGGAGGAACACCAGUGGCGAAGGCGGCUUACUGGACGGUAACUGACGUUGAGGCUCGAAAGCGUGGGGAGCAAACAGGAUUAGAUACCCUG
rnacentral:rRNA from 1 species